rnacentral:lncRNA from 1 species
AUUUGUUUCUUGAUAACUGUUUUCCAGUUGCUACAUACUUCAUUAAAUUGAUGCAAAGGAAAAUCUGUUCAUUGCGCUCAAAAUUUUAGAGAAAGACAUGAGAAAUGAUGAAGAAGUGGAUGAUUGACAGAGAGUUCAGCUGAGUUUCAGUUUGGUGAGAGGAUGUCUAAUAUAGAGGGCACUCCAGGAGUGGGCCUAGCAGCCUUAGCUGGAUGAGGGGGUCCCAUGGAAGAGGAUUGCCUAACACAUGAUUCUGAACUUCAUCCUUACAGACCCGCGAAUGUGUUUCUCAACGACCUGGGGACCAUAUCCGAAAUGUCAUCAUCAAUGGAGAUGGCACCUACCUACCUCUCAGUUUCUGUGGGAGGGUAGCAGCCUAACUUUGGAAGGUCUUCGUGGACAAUAUGUCCAUGCAGCUGUGUCAUCUCCUAUAAUAACACCACCUCCUGCUGGAAUACCUCCUGAAGAACCUGCUUGAGGCUGUUUAAAAUGGUUAACUUUUUUUAUUUUUAAUAUAUAUGUAGAAGCAGACUCUAAAAUAAUGACAAAAGUAUGGUGUAGUAAAUGCAUAAACCAGAAACAUGGUCAUUUAUUAUCAGUAUUAAGUAUUAUGUACUGUAUAAAAUUGUACUGCUAUACUUUUAUACUACUACUAACACAGUAGGUUUGUUUACACCAGCAUCACCACAAACACAUAAGUAAUGCAUUGGGCUAGGACAUUAAGAUAGCUUGUCACCUAUUCUAUCAAUAUGUGAUAAAAAUUUUUCAGUUCCAUUUUAAUCUUAUGGAACCACUGCUGUCUAUGCGGCCUGUCGUUGACCCAAAUGUCAUUAUGUAGUGCAUAACUGUACUAAUACUAAGAAAAACUGAGUGUUUGUAUUUUAGAGUUAAGCACUGAUACGUUUACAAAUAAAAUAAUAUCUGACGUUUGUUUCAAAGGAAUCUGGAUAAGAGGAUAUGGUAAGAACAUAUAUGAAGUAAGAUUGACCAUGGGUUAAUAAUGUUUGAAGCUAAGUGGUAAAUAAUCUUUGUCCCAACCUUUGUGCAUAGUGGUUCUCAAAGAUGAUCCCUGCACUGGCAGCAACAGGAUCAUUUGAGAUCUUGUUUGAAAAGCAAACUCUGAGGAAACCACAUAUUUUGUAACCAAAACUCUGCACAUGAGGCCCAUUAGCCUGUGGUUUCACAAGCCCUUUAGGUAAUUUUGAUCCAAGCUAAUGUUUCUGAAUCACUGCUCCAGUAUAAAUAACAUAGAAUAUUGCAUGUAUUUGUAGAGACAUGACAUUUGUAUAUUUUUAAGUUAUCCAUAAUACAACGAAAAAUAAUGAAAACACCCAGGACAAAUGUUUCACUGGAAAAAUUUGAAUAAAGUUUGCAGACAUAAUUCUAAUCUUAAACACUUCCAAAAGACAGAAAAGGAUCUAUUCCCCAACCCAGUCUGAGAGUAGAAAAUCUUAGCCCUGGAAGUGAACAAAGAGUAUGAAAGAACUAUUAAAGCCAGUCUCACUUAUGAACAAAAGAUCCAGUAAUCUUAAGAAGUUAAGUAAAUCUAGCAUUAUGUAAAAAUAAUAAAAAUACAUCAGAACGAAGUUGUAUUUAUCCUAGAAAAUGAAAGUUGAUUUAACAUUAGAAACACUUUAAAAAGCAGGGAGGAUUAAAGGAGUUUGUUUAUUCUUAAUAUAUUCUGUUUGUUUAUUUCAGUGUUUUUAUAUGAGUAUCCUUAAAUUUUUAAACUGUGUUAAGAUGCAUGCUUAUACUUGUUUUACUUUUCUGACUGGAAGAUAAACCUAAAUAAAGGUUGUGAAAAAGAUCUUUAAAUAUUACAUUUAUUCUUGAAAUUCUUGUUAACUUUUAUAAUUGAUAGUUGAUAAACAAUUAGGAAGCAUAAGGCACAAUUCUAAUAAUUCUGCAACUUCCCCCUAGAUAUUCUUGAAAUGCUUAUAUCCAUUGGAAUCUGACAUUUAAAAAGUUCAAGAUUUUCAAUAAUUUAAUACACAAACGCUUAAAAGAGUAAAUAUAGUUGUGAUUAAGAGAAGUUUGGCAUUUAAAAAUCAUAGCAAACUGAAACUUUUCAUCUUUUCAUUUGUAACACAAAAUAUUAACUUAAAUGAUUUGAUUUUUCUUUUUCUUUUUCUUUUUUCUUUCUUUCUUUUUUUUCUUUUUCUUUUUUUCUUUUUUUUUCUGGGAUUACAGGCACAUGCCAUCACGCCUAGCUAAUUUUUGUAUUUUUAGUACAGACGGGAUUUCACCAUGUUGGCCGGGAUGGUCUCGAUCUCCUAACUCGUGAUCCUCCCGCCCCCGCCGGCCUUGCCUGGGUUUACAGGCGUGAGCCAUCUUGCCCGGCUGGUUUGAUUUUUCAAUAAAAAUGCAAUAAUUAUAAAUAAGGAAUAAAAAGAGUGUCUGUAUUAUAAAAUAUAAUAACUUUUAUUUUGCCUUUCGAUAUCCCUUUGGUUUCAAAACCAAAUGUAAUAUAAACUGUCAAUUUAAAAUUGAUUUAUUAACAAAUUAUUAUUUCCUUAUGUAAACAUUUAAUUAUUACACAUCUCUGUUAUUAAAUGGAAAAAGUUGAAGAUUGUAUGAAUAUUAUAGUUUAUGCAUGUUAUACAAUUAAAUACAUUAUAUAUAGUUUAAUAAAAUGGUAACCCCAAAUUUUAGAAAUAU